UUCUGUUGAGUUGAAUUGAGGUGUGUUCAGUUGUGUUGAGUUGAAUUGUAUUGUUGUCUUGAAUUGUGUUCAGUUCUGUUGAGUUGAAUUGAGGUGUGUUCAGUUGUGUUGAGUUGAAUUGUAUUGUUGUCUUGAAUUGUGUUCAGUUGUGUUGUCUUGAAUUGUGUUCAGUUGUGUUGUGUUGAGUUGAACUGUAUUGUUGUCUUGAAUUGUGUUCAGUUGUGUUGUCUUGAAUUGUGUUCAGUUGUGUUGAGUUGAAUUGUAUUGUUGUCUUGAAUUGUGUUCAGUUGUGUUGAGUUGAAUUGAGGUGUGUUCAGUUGUGUUGAGUUGAAAUGAGGUGUGUUCAGUUAUGUUGAGUUGAAUUGAGGUGUGUUUAGUUGUGUUCAGUUUUGUUGAGUUGAAUUGAGGUGUGUUCAGUUGAACUGAGGUGUGUUCAGUUGUGUUGAGUUGAAUUGAGGUGUGUUCAGUUGUGUUGAGCCAUGUUGAAUUGAGGUGUGUUGAAUUGUGUUCAGUUCUGUUGAGUUGAAUUGAGGUGUGUUCAGUUCUAUUGAGUUGAAUUGAGGUGUGUUCAGUUGUGUUGAGUUGAAUUGAGGUGUGUUCAGUUGUGUUGAGCCAUGUUGAAUUGAGGUGUGUUCAGUUGUGUUGAGUUGAAUUGAGGUGUGUUUAGUUGUGUUGAGUUGAAUUGAGGUGUGUUCAGUUGUGUUGAGUUGAAUUGAGGUGUGUUCAGUUGUGUUGAGUUGAAUUGAGGUGUGUUCAGUUCUGUUGAGUUGAAUUGAGGUGUGUUCAGUUGUGUUGAGCCAUGUUGAAUUGAGGUGUGUUCAGUUCUGUUGAGUUGAAUUGAGGUGUGUUCAGUUGUGUUGAGUUGAAUUGAGGUGUGUUCAGUUCUGUUGAGUUGAAUUGAGGUGUGUUCAGUUGUGUUGAGCCAUGUUGAAUUGAGGUGUGUUCAGUUCUGUUGAGUUGAAUUGAGGUGUGUUCAGUUGUGUUGAGUUGAAUUGAGGUGUGUUCAGUUCUGUUGAGUUGAAUUGAGGUGUGUUCAGUUCUGUUGAGUUGAAUUGAGGUGUGUUCAGUUGUGUUGAGUUGAAUUGAGGUGUGUUUAGUUGUGUUGAGUUGAAUUGAGGUGUGUUCAGUUGUGUUGAGUUGAAUUGAGGUGUGUUCAGUUGUGUUGAGUUGAAUUGAGGUGUGUUCAGUUGUGUUGAGCCAUGUUGAAUUGAGGUGUGUUCAGUUGUGUUGAGUUGAA